AAUCAUGACGCUGUUGACUAUCUAGCAGUUGAGGAAAAACUUGAAGAACCAGCAGUUGAAGAAAAACAUGAAGAACCAACAGUUGAAGAGAAACCUAGAGAACCAGCAGUUACGGAGAAACAUGAAGAACCAGCGAUUGAGGAAAACCCAGCUGUGGAAGAAAAACUUGAAGAACCAGAGGUUGAGGAGAAACAUGAAAAACCAGCAGCUGAAGAGAAACCUAGAGAACUAGUAGUUGAAGAAAAAGCUGAAGAACCAACACCGGAAGAACUAGAAUUUGAAGAGAAACCUGAAGAACCAACUGCUGAAGAAAUACCUGAACAAUUAGUAGUUGAAGAGAAAUCUGAAAAACCAGAGGUUAAAGAGGAGAAGUCUGAAAAGGUAACUCUCUUGGAAAAAGUGAGGAUCAAGCACUAUCACAAAGUUUAUCCAUCCUAUUAGUUCUGUAUGUGCAAAGAUUCGUAUCUACUUAUCAAUUGAAAGAUUAAGUGAAACUUUAAAUUCUUCUUGCAGAAUAUGUCAGUUGUAGAUUUCAAUGAGAAGACUGACAGUGAAAUUCCAUGCAAUACCAACAAUGAUGUUGCCGACUAUGUAUCAGUUGAGGCAAACCUUGAAGAACCGGUAGUUGAAGAAAAACCUGAAGAAACAACGGUUGAGAAGAAACCUGAAGAACCAUCAAUUGAGGAGAAACGUGAAACACCAGCAUUUGAGAAGAAACCUGAAGAACCAAUAAUUGAGGAGAAACCUGAAGAACAAACAAUUGAAGAGGAGAAACAUGAAAGGAUAACUCUCCUGGAAAAGGUGAGGAUCAAGCAUUGUCACAAAGUUUAUCCAUCUUGUUAGUCGUGUAUACGAUACAAUUUACAUAUGCUUACCUACUGAAAGACUAAGUAAGACUUUAAAGUUCUUCUUGCAGAGUAUUCCAGUUGUAGUCCCGAACGACAAAACUGAAAGUAAAACUCCAAGCAUUACAAACAAUAAUGCUGCUCACUUUUCAGAAGUUGAGGAAAACCCUGAAGAACCUGCAGUAAAAGAAAAAACUGAAAAACCAGUUCUUGAAGAGAAACCUGAAGAACCAACAGUUGAAGAGAAAUCUGAAGAACCAGUUGAGGAGAAACCUGAAGAACCAACAGCUGAAGAGAAACCUGAAGAACCAGCAACUAAAGAAAAACAAGUGCUAGUAGGGGAGGAAACAGCUGAAGAACUAGCGCUUGAAGAGAAACCUGAAGAACUAACGAUUGAACAGACAGAUGAAGAACUAGUUGUUGAAGAUAAAACUGAAAAACCACCAAAUAAAGAGGAGAGACCUGAAACGGUAACUCUCCUUUAGCAGUGUCACAGAGUUUAUCCAUCCUAUUAGUUCUAUAUGUGCAACGAAUUCAUAUCUGUUUAUCUAUUGAAAUACUAAGUGAAAAUUCAAAUUUUCUUGCAGAAUUUGCCCAUUGCAGACUCAAAGGACCAGACUGACAAUGCAAUUCCAUGCGAUACCAACAAUGAUAUUGCUGACUAUGCAACAGUUGAGGAAAAACCUGAAGAAACAGUAGUUGAAGAAAAACAUGAAGAACCUGCAAUUGAAAAGAAAUUUGAAGAAUCAACAGUUAUGGAGAAACCUGAAGAACCAGCAGUGGAAGAAAAACCUGAAGAACCAACAGUUAAAGAGGAACCUGAAAAAUCAGUGAUGGAAGAGAAACCUGAAGAACCAAUUGUUGAGGAGAAACUUGAAGAACCAACUGUUGAAGAGAAACCUGAAAAAUCACUGAUUGAAGAAACACCUGAAGAACCAAUAUGGGAAGAAACACCUAAAGAACUAGCAUUUGAAGAGAAACCAGAAGAACCAGCAGUUGAAGAGGAGAAACCUGAAAAGGUAACUCUUUUGGAAGAGGUGAGUAUCAAGCAUUAGCACAUAGUUUAUCCAUCAUGUUAUUUCUGUAUGUGCAUCGAUUCACAUCUGCUUAUCUAUUGAAAGUCUAAAUGAGACUUUAAAUUCUUCUUGCAGAAUAUACCAGCUGUAGAUUUCAACGACAAGACUGACCGUGAAAUUCCAUGCGAUACCAACAAUGAUAUUGCUGACUAUGCAACAGUUGAGGAAAAACCUGAAGAACCGGUAGUUGAAGAAAAACAUGAAGAACCUGCAAUUGAAAAGAAAUUUGAAGAAUCAACGGUUAUGGAGAAACCUGAAAAACCAGUGGUUAAGGUACAACCUGAAGAACCAGCAGUGGAAGAAAAAGUUGAAGAACCAACAGUUAAUGAGGAACCUGAAAAAUCAGCGAUGGAAGAGAACCCUGAAGAAUCAAUUGUUGAGGAGAAACUUGAAGAACCAACUGUUGAAGAGAAACCUGAAAAAUCACUGAUUGAAGAAACACCUGAAGAACCAAUAUGGAAAGAAACACCUAAAGAACUAGCAUUUGAAGAGCAACCAGAAGAACCAGCAGUUGAAGAGGAGAAACCUGAAAAGGUAUCUCUUUUGGAAGAG
rnacentral:lncRNA from 1 species